rnacentral:rRNA from 1 species
AUACGGAGGGUGCGAGCGUUAUUCGGAAUUACUGGGCGUAAAGCGCGUGUAGGCGGGGAUGCAAGUCUGAUGUGAAAGCCCUGGGCUUAACCUGGGAAGUGCAUUGGAAACUGCAUUUCUUGAGUACUGGAGAGGAAGGGGGAAUUCCCGGUGUAGAGGUGAAAUUCGUAGAGAUCGGGAGGAAUACCAGUGGCGUAGGCGCCCUUCUGGACGGUUACUGACGCUGAGACGCGAAAGCGUGGGGAGCAAACAGGAUUAGAUACCCUGGUAGUCCACGCUGUAAACGAUGAUCACUAGGUGUAGCGGGUACUCAUUCCUGCUGUGCCGUAGCUAACGCGUUAAGUGAUCCGCCUGGGGAUUACGGUCGCAAGACUAAA